UACAGAGGUCUCAAGCGUUGUUCGGAUUCAUUGGGCGUAAAGGGUGCGUAGGUGGCGCGCUAAGUCAGGUGUGAAAUUUCGGAGCUUAACUCCGAAACUGCAUUUGAUACUGGCGUGCUUGAGGACUGGAGAGGAGACUGGAAUUCAUGGUGUAGCAGUGAAGUGCGUAGAGAUCAUGAGGAAGACCAGUGGCGAAGGCGGGUCUCUGGACAGUUCCUGACACUGAGGCACGAAGGCCAGGGGAGCAAACGGG
rnacentral:rRNA from 1 species